rnacentral:rRNA from 1 species
AUGGAGAAGGCCGCUCUGGAUCGCGUGACGAUGCAAGAAUCUCUCCCCGCGAUGCUCCUCCACGCCAUAGAAGCCCCUCUGAUUCUGGCGGCGCAGAAUUCUCUAGCACCGCCGCCUAUCACGACGGUCAUCGUGUAUCUUCUCGUGGCGGAUCCCACCACGUCAGCUUGCGCGAGCAACCACGCCCCUCUGAUUCUGGCGGCGCAGAAUUCUCUAGCACCGCCGCCCACCACAACGGUCCUCGUGUAUCUUCUCGUCGCAGAUCCCACCGCGUCAGCUUGCGCGAGCAACCACGCAGCUCUGAUCCUGGCGUCGCAGAAUUCUCUAGCACCGCCGCCCAACGCAACGGUCGUUUUGGUGACCGUUAUUAUGCGACUCGGUGAGCCAUGA